UAAUCUCUGAAUCUAAGAAGUAAGGACGGUU
rnacentral:piRNA from 1 species